GAUGAACGCUGGCGGCGUGCCUAACACAUGCAAGUCGAACGGAGUAUAUAUUAUGAAGUUUUCGGAUGGAUUAAUAUAAACUUAGUGGCGGACGGGUGAGUAACGCGUGGGUAACCUGCCUCAUACAGGGGGAUAACAGCUGGAAACGGCUGCUAAAACCGCAUAAUAUUGCGACAUCGCAUGGUGAUGCAAUUAAAUAUUUAUAGGUAUGAGAUGGGCCCGCGUCUGAUUAGCUAGUUGGUGAGGUAAUGGCUCACCAAGGCGACGAUCAGUAGCCGGCUUGAGAGAGUGACCGGCCACAUUGGGACUGAGACCCGGCCCAAACUCCAACGGGAGGCAGCAGUGGGGAAUAUUGCACAAUGGGGGAAACCCUGAUGCAGCGACGCCGCGUGAGUGAAGAAGUAUUUCGGUAUGUAAAGCUCUAUCAGCAGGGAAGAAAAUGACGGUACCUGACUAAGAAGCCCCGGCUAACUACGUGCCAGCCGCCGCCGUAA
rnacentral:rRNA from 1 species